rnacentral:rRNA from 1 species
UACGGAGGGUGCAAGCGUUAUCCGGAUUCACUGGGUUUAAAGGGUGCGUAGGCGGGCAGGUAAGUCAGAGGUGAAAUCUCCGGGCUUAACCCGGAAACUGCCUUUGAUACUAUCUGUCUUGAGUAUGGUGGAGGUAAGCGGAAUAUGUCAUGUAGCGGUGAAAUGCUUAGAGAUGACAUAGAACACCUAUUGCGAAGGCAGCUUACUACGCCUAUAUUGACGCUGAGGCACGAAAGCGUGGGGAUCAAACAGG